rnacentral:rRNA from 1 species
AUUGAACGCUGGCGGCAGGCCUAACACAUGCAAGUCGAGCGGUAGAGAGAAGCUUGCUUCUCUUGAGAGCGGCGGACGGGUGAGUAAAGCCUAGGAAUCUGCCUGGCAGUGGGGGAUAACGUUCGGAAACGGACGCUAAUACCGCAUACGUCCUACGGGAGAAAGCAGGGGAUCUUCGGGCCUUGCGCUAUCAGAUGAGCCUAGGUCGGAUUAGCUAGUUGGUGAGGUAAUGGCUCACCAAGGCGACGAUCCGUAACUGGUCUGAGAGGAUGAUCAGUCACACUGGAAAUGAGACACGGUCUAGACUCCUACGGGAGGCAGCAGUGGGGAAUAUUGGACAAUGGGCGAAAGUCUGAUCCAGCCAUGCCGCGUGUGUGAAGAAGGUCUUCGGAUUGUAAAGCACUUUAAGUUGGGAGGAAGGGCAUUAACCUAAUACGUUAGUGUUUUGACGUUACCGUCAGAAUAAGCACCGGCUAACUCUGUGCCAGCCGCCGCGGUAA